CAACUUUGGAAUUUUCCCGUGGGAAUCACGAUCACAAACCGGAAAGAAAUCUAUUAAGAGUUUUAGAAGAAGAAAAAUAUGACUUGAGGUUGAAUAGAGAGAAAAGGAACAAUCAAGAGAUCAUUGAUAAUGGUUGAAAAUACCUUUGGACCCCAACUCGGGACCUCACACUCAUGAUGCCUUUCCACUGGGGUGUCCUAGAUCAUCAGCCUGGGAGGGAAACAAUAAAAGUAUGGAGAAACAGCUGCAAACUCACUGAAGCUUUUUUCUGGGGUAAGUGCUUGAUUUUCAGCUCCACCUCUCAGACCUUACACACAUUUGCUUCUAGCCUCAUUUCUUCACAGAAUGAGGUGUGUGAUCAUCAGUGCUAUAGAUGGCCUGGGAGCAAUUGCUCUUCCUAGAGAGCAUGCAUUCGUAGGUGCAUUUACUCUUGUCAAGAGAGCUGUUCCCCAGGCACAGCUGGAGAGAACACUCUAUGCUCUGUCCCAAACUGAGCACAGGUCCCACAUGGGGCCUGUAUGGGUGCUUUGUGGAUUCUUCCUUCCAGAGCCCGUGGUAGCCCUCUUCCUUGGAAAGGAUAAAGGUUAGCCUCCUGUCACCACCUAUUGAAGAACCACACUUUCUCCUUCCAUGAAAUCUGGGCUAGUCUGCUUCUGUCUUCUGGCUAGAUCUUCUCUCUUAUCUAUGAGGUCUUAUUCUAAUAAUAUAGCAAGAUCUUUUAUGUUAAGUCUGUAAAUUUGGCCUCUCACCCUUUGGAAGUGCAUGUAAUAUAUAGUUCUAAAAACUGCCAAACUAUGUAAUAAACAUCUAUUUAUUGACUAAAUGAAUAAACUCUUAACUUGCAUCAUGAGAAAACACAAUGAUUCCUCUGCUUUUCCUGUGGGAUCUUUUCCCAAACAGGCCACUUAGCCUUUUGCUCAGGUUCCUGCUCGCACUACAACAUGCGCUAGUUUUGCAGCAGCAUCUUCCAAGGUGAGAUGUGGAGCAGGGGGUUUUAUUCUUGCAUGUGCAGACUUGUAUAGUCAACUUCCCACUGGACAUGGUAUCAAAACUACUUGGGUAUCAAAAAAAAAUCUAAAACAUAGUAUGUUCAAUGAUCUCUUGAUUUUCCCUCUAGUACCAGCUAUUUUCAUAUUCUGUACAUCUGUAAUUGAUUUCUUUUUGUCAGUCUAGCCAAAAAUCUUGUAUUAUCAUCGACUCUUCUCCUUCUUUCAUACCCCACAACUAAUCUACAGCAAAUCUUGUUAGCUUUACCUUUAAAAAAUAUCCAGAAAAUCACCACUUCUCACCAUCUCCACUGUCAAACCACCAUCAUCUCUCACCAGGAUUAUUUCCAUAGCCUUUUAAGCUGGAUCCCUGCUUCCAUCCUGCUCACCUAUGGUCUAUUUUCAACAGUGGCCAGGAAGUUCCUGUUAAGAUGUGUUACAUCAUGCUAUCUUCUGACCAAAAUCUUCCAAGGGCUUCGCAUCUCAUUUGGAAUAAAAGCCGAAGUCUUUACAGUCUGGCUCCCCUGUUACUUCCCAGAACUCAUCUCCUACUGCUUCACCCCUUGUUCACUCUGCUUCAGCCAUGCUGGCCUCCUUGCUGUUCUUUGAACAUGCCUGGUACAUUCCACAGAACCUUUGCAUUUGCUCUUGUCCAACCAUUCACUAACUGGCUCCCUCAUCUUCAGAUCUUUGUGCAAAUAUCUCCUUUUCUGUGUGAUUUCUUUUGGCUACUCUAUUUAAUACUGCAUCUGACCCCCAUUGCCCCUACACACACAUCAUAUUGAGUUUCUCUGCUUACUUUUUCUCACAGCAUCUGUUAUGGGUUGAGUUGUGUCCCCAAAAGGAUAUAGUGAAAGUCCUAACCCCCAAUACCUGUGAAUGUCAUUGUAUUUGGAAAUGUGUCUCUGUAGCCUUAAUCAGCUUAAGGCAAGAUCAUUAGAGUGAAUCCUAACUCAAUAUGAUUUGUUUCUUUAUGAGAAGAGGAAAACACCAUGGGAAGACAGACACACCCAGGGAUAAUGGUAUGUGAUGACAGAGGCAGAGAUUGGCGUGAGGUAGCUGCGAGCCAAGAAGCAUCAAGUAUUGAUGCCCACCACCAGAAGGAUGGCUGCUGUGGGGUCUGCACUUGUUUCCUGAAGCUGCAGCGACAUGCUGAGAAUUCAAAGAAAAGCAUACUGCAUAAUACUUAAUAAAGUGCUAAAAGUACUAAAGAGGCACAGUCCGUUGUCCAUUAAAAAUGCAGUAAAUUUUUCUGAAAACCAGAUUUAAUAUCGUGUGUUAUUUUUCUCCUUCUUGGAACCACACAUGACUUAAAUAUUUCCAUGAGAUCCGAGAUAAAGUGAAAUGAUAAAAAUGAUGAAAUGAAAAAUUAUAGCUCUCCUUUGGAUAGCAGAAGAAAAAGGAGAUAGGGAGAUUUAUAAUAAAAAGUAAAACUCAAAGGAAUUCAAACUCAGUCUGUUUGUAAUUAAAGCACAGAUUUAAGUCGUGAGGUUUUGCAGCCUUGGCAGAUGAGCUAAGUUAAUUUACAGGUAUUUAAUUCACUCCACAGGGUAGAGCCUCCUGUUGUUGCUUUGUGAAUAUAAUAUUUAUAUUGAUAAUUAUAAAACUCAUUUAAAACAUUAAAG
rnacentral:lncRNA from 1 species